AGUGAACGCUGGCGGCAGGCUUAACACAUGCAAGUCGAGGGGCAGCACAGUAAAAGCUUGCUCUAACGGGUGGCGACCGGCGGACGGGUGAGGAAUACUUCGCAAUCUACCUUUUAGUGGGGGAUAACGUUUGGAAACUAACGCUAAUACCCCAUACGAACUACUUUUCAAAGCGGUUGAUCUUUUAACCAACUGCGAUUGAAUUGGGGGUGGGCUCCUUAGCUAGUUGGCGGGGUAAAGGCCCACCAAGUCAACGAUGGAUAGGUGUUCUGAGAGGAAGGCCCCCCGCAAUGGAACUGAGACACGGUCCAAACUCCUACGGGAGGAAGGAGUGAGGAAGAUUGGGGAAUGGACGCGAGUCUGAACCAGCCAAGUAGCGUGAAGGAGGACUGCGCUAUGGGUUGUAAACUUCUUUUAUACGGGAAUAAAGUGGUGUAUGCAUCCUCCUUUGUAUGUACCGUAUGAAUAAGGAUCGGCUAACUCCGUG
rnacentral:rRNA from 1 species